rnacentral:rRNA from 1 species
UUCCGGUUGAUCCUGGCAGACCUGACUGCUAUCGGAUUGAUACUAAGCCAUGCGAGUCAUUGUAGCAAUACAAGGCAGACGGCUCAGUAACGCGUAGUCAAUCUACCCUAUGGACGGGAAUAACCUCGGGAAACUGAGAAUAAUGCCCGAUAGAACAUUAUGCCUGGAAUGGUUUAUGUUUCAAAUGAUUUAUCGCCAUAGGAUGGGACUGCGGCCUAUCAGUUUGUUGGUGAGGUAAUGGCCCACCAAGACUAUUACAGGUACGGGCUCUGAGAGGAGUAGCCCGGAGAUGGGUACUGAGACACGGACCCAGGCCCUAUGGGGCGCAGCAGGCGAGAAAACUUUGCAAUGUGCGAAAGCACGACAAGGUUAAUCCGAGUGGUUUCUGCUAAAGAAACCUUUUGUCAGUCCUAGAAACACUAACGAAUAAGGGGUGGGCAAGUUCUGGUGUCAGCCGCCGCGGUAAAACCAGCACCUCAAGUGGUCAGGAUGAUUAUUGGGCCUAAAGCAUCCGUAGCUCGUUUUGUAAGUUUUCGGUUAAAUCCAUGCGCUUAACGUAUGGGCUGCCGGGAAUACUGCAUAACUAGGAAGUGGGAGAGGUAGACGGUACUCGGUAGGAAGGGGUAAAAUCCUUUGAUCUAUUGAUGACCACCUGUGGCGAAGGCGGUCUACCAGAACACGUUCGACGGUGAGGGAUGAAAGCUGGGGGAGCAAACCGGAUUAGAUACCCGGGUAGUCCCAGCUGUAAACUAUGCAAACUCAGUGAUGCAUUGGCUUAUGGCCAAUGCAGUGCUGCAGGGAAGCCGUUAAGUUUGCCGCCUGGGAAGUACGUACGCAAGUAUGAAACUUAAAGGAA